AUGUUAGCGAUGAUUAUAAAAGUAAUUUCUCGUUCUAGCUUACUUAAUUUAGACAUGACAAACAUCUUAUUACAACCAUAGAAUAUGAGUUCC
rnacentral:snoRNA from 1 species